GCACCGAGGCGCCACGGCGCAUGCUCGACUCUCUUUUAUGAAUGGGGGGCUGGAGGAAGCCUGGCUGCGAGCCGCGGAGGACGGAUCCGGCUCUCGCUCGCUGUUUGCGUGUCCCCCUCCCCCGCUUUAUUUAUUUAAUUUUGUGAAUGGAGGGCAGGCGGUGACAGCUGCGCACGUACCGCGCCCUCCGCCCGGCCUGAAGCAUACAUUUAAUAACUCACGCAGCAGUGAGGGAAGGUCCGCGUUCAGCCGCUGCCGGUGUGAGCUCUGCCCCUCACUGCAGAUACGCCUCCUGGGAAGGUUUCUCCCUACGGAAGUGUGCGCUCAAAGACCAAUCGUUUGAUUGCGUACGUGUUUGUCUCUGAGGGCAGAGAUCAUUCCGAGUGGGAGCAGCAGCUGUGGGUCGUGAGCAGAUGCAGUUUGACAAGGAAAGGACAGAAGAAAGAGAAUCUCUAAAGAAUUAUCUGAGCCAUCCUCAAAAUACUACUGACUUCAAACACACACGAUUGAUGCUUUCUCUUAAGAGUGAGAGAAUAUGGUUGUUCGUGCUGUUAUUUUGUUAUUGGUUGGCCUUACAAUGUGCCUUUUAAAGGACAGGAAUUCUGUCUGGUUUUGAAAAUUAGCAAGGAAAUACACUUUUUUUUUUUUUUUUUUUUUUUGGGGGGGGGGGAGCCCUCAAAAUAUAAUUGGAGGGAGUUAGAAUUCCCUCAAAAAUAACCUCUUGCUGAAUGAAUCCAGCUCAAAGAUGAAAGGCCCAAAUGCCUCAGCAACAAUCUGCCCUGAUUUCUCACUUUCAGCACUUGUAUCUGCGUGAGUAUCGAACUGAAUUCUGCAGAUGUGCAGUAAUGCUGUAGCAACGUGAGAGCCAAAUAUCCCUGGAAGCUUUUUUGUACAAAUGCUGAUUUCUCUGUUGCAGAGGGAUUAGUAUAGUGAGCGUGAGGGAAGAUCUCAGUUGCAGUAAUCAUUUCCCUGUGAGACCCAAACUGCAGAGAUGCCAACUGCAAACCACUACAUAGCAGCAAAGCAGGCAGUGCUGUAAUUGCACAGUAAUUAUAGACAGAGCCCUGUAUGCUCUUGACAGAAGCCCCAGCAGUAGAACUGCAGUCUUGUGAUACCUUUACACACUGCAGUCUGCCUCUGUGUGCACACAGCACCUCUGGCCACCCUGUUUUUAAGGCUUGUGCUCUUCAUGCUAACCUUGGAGAGGCUGGUAGUGCACCAGCUGUGCUCCUGUGUGCAGAAGGAGUUAAUUCCUUAUCCAGGCUGAUACUUCUAAGAUUUAAUUUGCUUACAGAAUUGGAUUCAAAUCAUUCCAAAAGAGAAGAUUUUAAAUCUGGCCCCUCCUCUUGAAAGCAGAGGGUGUCCUAAUGGGUGGUUUUGCCACCUGUUGGUAACACAGGGAGGAGUUUUUUCCCCUUCUCAUUAUUUACUUAACCACUUUUGUGUACGUUCUAAGAAACUGUUCUAGGAAACUGUUCUAGGAAACUGUUGAUUAAAAUUUCCUGCUACAAUGAGAAAAGGGAAUUUCAGUUUUUUAUCACCCAGCUCCUAGAAAUGGUCUGGAGAACCUAGAUGAUGCCAUUUGUCUUUUAAUCCACUGAGAUGGUAUUUCCCAAGCACAGAAAUGCACUACUGCAAAUUCCAUCCAGGGCAGCACAAUAUGUUGCCCAUAUGUUUGACCAUGUGAGGAUCCUAACCAUAGGGAGAGUAGGAAAAUACUGGGAUGUGUUUGCUGAUGUGUUGUGUCAAGUAUUUGUUAUGUCAGAUAAUUUGUGUGAUGGUUACUAUGAGAGCACACCUCUAUUGCAUUGCUGACAGCAGUUACAGGCCUGGUCUGUGAUACCUGGAGAUAAAUGGUAACUAUGUUGGCAAAAUGGUGACUGCUGCGUUGACAAUUAGCAUGUGACCCUGCUUGCUACAGCCUGAACUGGGGCUGUGCUGAGAUGCUGAAGCCAAGUGCCACAAAGCAGGUGACAGAAAAUUGUGCGCUGAGAUGGAGGGGUGUGAAGGCUGAGCACUGCUGCUGUGGAGCUGCUCCGUUGGGAGUUACUGCUUCUAUGAGCUUCCCUGUGCAACCUAGGAAGGAAUGGUUAGAAUAGACGUUGUAUUGCUGUGGGUGAGGGGCAGUGCCAGACCCAUUCCCACAAUAAUACAAUAGGAAGGAGUGGUGCUGGGCUCUAUCUUGCUUUAAAACACCGCUUUGUACAGCUGCUGCCCAAAGCCUGGCUUGCUGAUGAGGCAGCAGUGUCCCCUCUGCUCCAAACUCCUCCACAGACUUUGCAGUCCACCCCAGAGGUGACUAAAUGUCAUUAUCUCAGUGACACGAGCUGCUAUCUCAGCUGUCCGCUGCUGCAGCACAGAUGAAAGCUCCGUGCUUCCUGCUGCCCUAUCAGGCACAUGUUGUCUGUACCCAGACAUUACUCACAUCCUUGAAGUCGUAUCUUAUUUUGCAUAAUUAACACUGACUGUGCUCUGCUUCCUUCCUUCCCUGGCAGUUUUGCUCUGUGGCUUUACCUGGCUGUGGAGGCACUGGGUUUUAUUUCUGAGCUCCAGCACAAGGAAUGAAAGUAACUGCUGCUGCGUGGCAUGAGUUCACAACCAAUGCGGAUGUCCCAGCCUGGUCUGGGAAUGCCCUUCAGUCCUGAACCAGUGCUGCAGCCACAGUCUGUUGUGUGCACUUCUGUGCCACUUCCUCAGGAGAAGUUUGCAAGCAAACAAAAAAGAAGCAAACCCAGUCACCAUCUGAGACAAAGGGACAGAAAGCCACAGGCCAGUCUGGGGGCACUGGGGGGCUCCUGAGGCACUCUGGGCUGUCACUAAAUGGAAAUGUUUUCCAAGGCAUGUGCUCUUGCUGGUGCUUUCAGGUGGUUCCCAGUGCUGGCAGCUGGCUUGUGGCAGCCUAUGAGGGCUGUCUUUGGGAUGGAAACACUGCACCAGCCCUUUGCUUUCUGCAGUAGUUCACCAUGACUUCUGUUUAGUAAUUUGCUUCAGCUUUUAAUAUCUAUUGACCUGGUUCCACAUGAAUAAUUUAGUGUUUAUGAACAAUUGUAGUAACAGAAGCUGCGCCAUUAACUAAACCAUGAGCUCAGCAAAAUAGGAUAAAAAUUCAUAGAACAUAAAAUGAGAGCUAUGGGGUCUCCGUGGAGAUGAGCAGAAGUGUCGUGUGACCUGUAAGGUUCAAAACAUGUAACUGCUCAGCAUUCAAGCGACAGGACUCCUACAUCUGCAGACAUGUGCAGUGAGCUGCCAGUGCUGCAGUACACUUCCCAGUUGCAGCACCAGGAUUAUUGGAUUGCAAUCCUGACGUAUGCAUGUUUUCUGCAGGAUCAAGUAUUACAGUCCUUUAGUUUUUGCACUUGUACCUGACUUGCUUGGCAUCCUCUGUUCCAGCUGAGCAUGCUGUCUUUGCAUUUGCUUUUCAAAAGGUUGCCAGUUUGCAAAUGUUUGCUGAUUCGUUUCCUUUCUUGGAGGAUGGCAGCCUGGGUGAUGCUUUCUCUCGGUCUCAAGAUCUGACCUCAGUGGAGCAGCAAAGGCAUUUGUAAUUCACUGAGAAAUUCCAUUGAGGUAAAUGCAAAUGCAGAGGUUGGUGCCUUACAGGAAUAAAGGUUUUUAGAUUCGUGACUGUGCA
rnacentral:lncRNA from 1 species